rnacentral:snoRNA from 1 species
ACGUCUCUUGCCUCGCUCGAUCGAACGUUUUUCAGUCGAUCGAUCUUGAGCUGGAUGCUGACCGUUAUAUUCAUAACAGUCGAGCAUGAGACAAGAACAAUCGCACCAAGACUUGCCGAUUUUUGAGUACGAGUCCAUCUCUCAGAUGGUGGAUCAUCGUAAUUUAUACGGCAUGACAUGA